UACGUAGGGGGCAAGUGUUGUCCGGAUUCAUUGGGCGUAAAGAGCGUGUAGGCGGCCAGGUAGGUCGGUUGUGAAAACUGGAGGCUCAACCUUCAGAGGUCGACCGAAACCAUCUGGCUAGAGUCCGGGAGAGGAGAGUGGAAUUCCUGGUGUAGCGGUGAAAUGCGCAGAUAUCAGGAAGAACACCGGUGGCGAAGGCGGGUCUCUGGGCAGUAACUGACGCUGAGGAGCGAAAGCGUGGGGAGCGAACAGG
rnacentral:rRNA from 1 species